GUACCUGGACAAGUCCUGCUGCUUCCUAGGGAAGGCGAUGAAGCUUCGUGAAGAAAGAGGAGAUAUACUAGCAAUUUUCCGAGUCAACUGCACUUUUAGAGAAGAGUACACGCUUUACAGAUAAUUGAGCUGCCUCUAGAUGAACUUGUGCGUGUGUGUGUGGCGCCAGCCACAUCCAUCAUGAUAUAAUCACAUCCUGGUGAGGUUCCGCGGCUCGGAAGAAGUCUACGACGCGUACG
rnacentral:lncRNA from 1 species